GCUCGCUCUCAAUUAUUAACCCGUUUCUAUUAUCUAUGUAUCUCUGUAGUCUUGGCUGGCUGGAGAAUGACUAGACCUCUUGUUCCCUUAGCAGCCACAAGGCGUCUCCUCACAGCUCACUUCUGCACCCCUCUUCCCAGAAUUCACCUAUCCUUUCAGUCUGCAUUUAUUCAGCAACCAGUAAGAGAAACAUAUUCGCAGCACACAGAAGGACACCCCCAUCAGCACAGUGUGCUGUUAUUGGACCAUUCAGCGCAGAACUAGAUCCCUAAACACAACCCUCUACCUAAAUAGUAAUGACCCCAGGAGUUGAAGCCAUUUCUGAGAUUUGAGAAACUUUAUCUCACACAAAGAACAUGCAGGAAGUACUAAAAGCCGAGUCACAUAAGAGACUGCGUGGUUUGUUUGCGUAAAUUAGUAUUUUCAGCAGAUUUUAUUAUCUGUUUAUUUUCAUGACUUAGAACUAAAAUUAUAGUUUGCCUUCAUCAGCUAAUAUGAAUUAUUUUUAUGCAGGUAAGAUAUGAAAAGAUGACUUUCAAAAGGUUUGAAGUGGACAGGAGCCUCUUGUAACUGUGCAUGAAAUGCAUAUAAGAUGAAAGUCGUUAGGGUGCCUGCAUUUCCCCAGCUCUAGUGAUGGUAGUAGAGAACGUCGGGGAUGAUCUUAAACUUCUGAUCUUGCUGACUGCGCAGGGACUACAGUCAAGCACAGAAAAGCCCUCACCCACCCUUUCCUCAUCCUUCUCCCUUUCACUUUGAUUUUUUUAAAUUUCUUUUUUGGGGGGCGCUGUGCAGGUGUUGUCCAACGAUAGGAUCACACCACCACAUCUGGCUGUUUUGUUCUGUGCUCCUUUUUUAAAAAUAAAAGCUAUUACUAUUA